UGGAAGUCGUCGUUAUCCCUGCAGU
rnacentral:piRNA from 2 species